UCUCAGAAGUGGCAAGCUGCAUUUUUGAGGAGAGAGAGAGAGAGAUGGCUAGGCUUGCAGUAACAUGUUGUGCCGUCAUAAAUGCUACAGCCACCAUCUGUUUCCAGCCCACGACUUGAAAGAAAACUGAGCAGUAAUCUCAUAAUUCACAUGAGCAUUUUACACUUGUGAACCCUUCCCAACCUUUGUCUAAUAAUGAGGGGAGUGCAUGGUGCUAAGGUUUGUAUUUUUCCUGCACGUAUUAGUGUUUAUUUGUAUGUCUCUUUCUGUUUUGUUGUUUUUUUUUUUUUCCACGGGCCCAUUAAAAAAAUUUCUCUGGGAGGAAAAUCAGACCAGUUCCACGGUCAAAAGAAACAUAAUAAAGGCGAAAUCCCAAUUCCAUUGACCUUGCUGGCAAAAUUCUCCAGGAGGAGGUGCAUUUAACAUUCCUUGCUGUGUCUGUCUUGGUUACUUGUUGAUUAAAAGAAAGAAAGACGUUAGAAAGUGAAGAGGCAGGUUGCUGAACUGCCCUUUCCCUGCAGAAACAGAGCUGCUAGAAUAGCUGGACAUGCGCAUUUUAAACCCGCACCAUCAGAUAGGAUGGUAAUGGUAGGUUGGAUUUUAAUGAAAACAAAUUCUUCUGCUAAUCUUCGCUUCGGGCUGGCCCUCCGUGGGAUUAAGGAUACCACCUGCUGUGCCAAAGACGUGCUCAGGUUCGAGGCUGCUGGUGGGUGGGAAGAACACAAACAUCUGAGAGUGACUCUGGUGAGGGAUCGCAGUCUGUCCUGUUGCAGUGCCCUCAGGGAAGCCAAGGAGUUGAGAUCAUUUAGCUGAUGGAAAUACUGCUCCCCUCCAGCCUGCAAAGCAAGGCUAACAUCGUUAAGGAUUUCUUUUUGACUGUUCCGCAAAACCAAGGGCUGCUGAUUCUCUAGGCCUCCUCUCGUCUUUGGACCCAAUUUGCACGCCUCCUCCUAGCACAGCCGAACUGGCUGAAUGAACUCCUGCUCUCCUCUGGCCUUAGAAACAAUGACUUUCAUCAUCUCGACCAGACUGCAGAGCAGUUUAAGGAUGAAAGGGCUUCUCAUUUCAUAUAUCCCACUGCUGCUAGAACUAUAAAUCCUUGAUGGACUGAGUUUAUAGCAAACUGCUACUGAAAGCAAGUGAAAUUUAUUUUGUGUUGUCAUAUGUAUGGUCAAACUGUCCAAGAAGUUGCCAAACAAAGAGCUGAGCUGCUGAUGGGCAACCAAUUCACUCUCUUCUCAUUUUAUUUAAAAAUAAUAAAUAACU